ACAUACGAUCAUAGACUGAUGAGAAUUGGGCAUCCCGUCCGCUCUGCCACACACAAGCAUCAGAUCGGUAGAUUAGUAGUUGGGUGGGUGACCACCAGCGAAUACCUACUGUCGUAUGUU
rfam:Glarea lozoyensis 74030 unplaced genomic scaffold M7I_scaffold4, whole genome shotgun sequence.